rnacentral:rRNA from 1 species
UACGUAGGGGGCUAGCGUUGUCCGGAUUUAUUGGGCGUAAAGAGCGUGUAGGCGGCCAUGUAGGUCCGGUGUGAAAACUCGAGGCUUAACCUCGAGAUGUCAUCGGAAACCAUUUGGCUAGAGUCCGGAAGAGGAGAGUGGAAUUCCUGGUGUGGCGGUGAAAUGCGCAGAUAUCAGGAAGAACACCAAUGGCGAAAGCAGCUCUCUGGGACGGUACUGACGCUGAGACGCGAAAGCGUGGGGAGCGAACAGG